GUGUGACGAAAAAGAAAGUAUAAUAUAUGUUACAUAUCAACCUGCUUAUUCUAAUUCUGCUCCCUCCCUCUCUAUUUGAUACAUUUAUUCAACAAAUAAUUACCAUAUACAUAUACAUAGAUUUCAUUUUCCAUGAGAUGCCUUCUUGUAGGUUCAUAAUAAUCUCUUCAACUUUUGAAUAUGAUUACAAAACCAUCAACAGUCUCUGCAAUGACUUUGACCUGCAUCUGGGAACAAGGCAGACCAAGUAUAGCCCUUCAAAAAUAGCUACUUUUUUUUUUUUUUUUUUUNNNNNNCUAUUCACUCCAUCAUAGCCACUGCAGAAGGGUCAUUAGCAACAAUUUGAUAAGCAUCUUCAUCAUCAUUUUCUCUAUCCCCUUCUUGAUUCUGGUCAACAUUUUCGCUUUCUCCAUCCUCUGUUGUUGCUGAUUCUUGUUGUUGUCGUUCUUCUUGGCUAUCCACCAUAUGCAUUAGAAUUUCUUCAGGCUUCAACUCAUGACCAGAAUUAACUGAAUUAUCAACUUUUCUAGUCUUCUUGUUAUAUAGAACAUCAAGCUGGUGAAAAUAAGGACAAGUCUUUGAAUCAUCAGGCCUUUUCUUAUUGCUCUCUCUUACUCUCUUGAAGUACUUAUUCAUAUUCUCCCAUUUCUCUUUGCACCUCUUCGCAUUUCUAUUAUAACCUUUUUCAUUGCUGCUGAUAUCUCCUCCCACAAAGGCCCUUUGGGUCCAUUCUCUUGAUAUUGCAUAUCAAGGGUAGUCCUUAGCCUAAUCAAAGCUUCAAUUUCUUCUUUAGGCCAUCUCGAUGAGCUCAUAUGAGCAAAAUUCUCAAGAUUAUUAUUUUCCUGUGCCUUUACUACUUUUUCUACGGGAGCUACUUCGUUCUCAGACAAUUGCACUGGAUGUACUUGAUUCUCAGACAAUUGCACUGAGCUAGCUUGCUCUGAGAACUUCUGUAAGAAGGAAAGAACAGCUGCAUCUUUUGCAGCUGCUAUUGAUCUUUCCUGCAUUAAAAGCUCACGUUCUCUCUUAAUCCUUUCCAAUUCUUGCAUCUUCCACGCUUCCUCUCUCGCCA
rnacentral:misc_RNA from 1 species